rnacentral:rRNA from 1 species
UACGGAGGUGGCAAGCGUUGCUCGGAAUCACUGGGCGUAAAGCGCACGUAGGCGGCUUACUAAGUCAGGGGUGAAAUCCUGGAGCUCAACUCCAGAACUGCCUUUGAUACUGGUGAGCUUGAGUCCGGAAGAGGUGAGUGGAACUGCGAGUGUAGAGGUGAAAUUCGUAGAUAUUCGCAAGAACACCAGUGGCGAAGGCGGCUCACUGGGCCGGUACUGACGCUGAGGUGCGAAAGCGUGGGGAGCGAACAGG